rnacentral:piRNA from 1 species
UUUGGCAUAUUCGAAAAAAUC